UGCAUCUGAGGCCAGUGAGGAUGAGAACCUCCGGGGGCAGGAGGUUCGACUCGAGCGAAGCGAGAGAACGUUGCGUCAGCAACGGCCCGCAGGGCGAGCCACGAAGUGGUG
rnacentral:sRNA from 1 species